GACGAACGCUGGCGGCGUGCUUAACACAUGCAAGUCGAACGGAAAGGCCCUGCUUGCAGGGUACUCGAGUGGCGAACGGGUGAGUAACACGUGGGUGAUCUGCCCUGCACUUCGGGUUAAGCCUGGGCAACUGGGUCUAAUACCGGACAGGAGCCAUUUUGAAUGUGAUGGUUGGAAAGUUAUUUCCGGGUGGGAUGAGCUGGCUGCCUAUCGGCUUGUUGGUGGGGUUAUGGCCUACCAAGGCGGCUGCGGGUAGCCGGCCUGUGAGGGUGGCCGGCCACCUUGGGACUGAGAUACGGCACAGACUCCUACGGGAGGCAGCAGUGGGGAAUAUUGCACGAUGGGCGCAAGCCUGAUGCAGCGAGGCCGCGUGGGGGAUGACGGCCUUCGGGUUGUAAACUACUUUCGCUAGGGACGAAGCUUUUUGUGACGGUACCUAGAUAAGAAGCCCCGGCUAACUACGUG
rnacentral:rRNA from 1 species